UGGCUCCCUGGGGCAAGAGGACCUAGGGUGUGGGCUGACCAACUAUGCAGAAGGAACCACAGGAACAGCCAAACCUGGGGAAGGACAGAGCUGUCCUUUAUGCUGUUAGCUUGUUAACGUUUUGGCCAACCAAGCAAAUCUCAGUGAGGGGGAGGAGCUGGACUCGACAGCAUACACAAACCAGGCUUGGGGAAGGUCCCUGUUCACAGCCAUUUAUCAUUACUGAUUUCACAAAUAACUGCUUUCAGCACUGAGCAACCUCCUGCAAGGCUUGUAUGAGGAUGGAGUGGGGACAAUUAGCUGGCCCUUUAGAAGCAAGACUUUUUUAUAUGCAAGGCACAAUGGAGGAUGGUGCAAAAAGAGAGGGGAACUGAAGGGGCACUGAGGAGGGCAGAGUGAGAAGUUCCCACAAGGAAGCAGAAAUGAAAAAGGGCAAAGAUCCAAGUCGGGGAAGAGAGAAUCCUACAGAGCUGCAGGCAAGCAGAGCAGACCUCCAAGAGAGGAGCGAGUGUUUUCUGGGUGUUGUUGCACCAGCGGGCCACUAGCAGUCUAGGCAGAAUGGGAAGCGACAAUGAUGAAUGGACAAGAUGGAUAUCAGCUUUCUCUGUGGCAAAUGCAGGCUGUUAAAAAUAGCACCAAGGAUACACGGAGCAGCUGAUUUAGCAAAACAAGCCUGGGAAGAUGCACCCACACCCAGGGGUGGAUCCUGAGGGGCUGCAGUGGUGUUGUUGCAUCCCUCUCUCAGACCGCAUAUGGGGAGCGGCAGCUGGUGACUUUUUUUUUAAGUCUCUGAGGCAACCAUUCAGCAGGAUCACUUUGUUGAGCCGAUGCUCCCGAGGGCAAGAACACCAAGACCUGGACAAAGGUGAAACAUGUAACAGCCUCUGUUCCCUGUUCUGCAGCGGAGCCAUCUGUCUGAUGGAAAGGCUGGCUGGGGCAAAGGAGAACCUGCUGUCCCCAUGAGGCAUGGGUUUGCCCACUGUGCCUGGAUGGUGUUGUAGCCUGUAACAAGCACCUGAUGCACAUGCUUUCAAGUGCAUUUUGACAAGUGCCAGUGCCUCUGUCUAUGGGCAGGGCAGUGCCACCCAGUGAGCCCCUGGUGUCUCUGCACCUGACCUGGGCACUGCCAAGCAUAGACCAUCCGGAGUGACUCUACCCAUCAAGCCCCUUGUGCUCUGUACCUCAUAGCAGACUGUGGAGAUGUAAUGCUCUUACCCACCAAGCAGCAGAGUGUGGCAAAUCAGAUGAUACCUGCUGCCUGGUCCCUGGGAACUGUCUGUGUGGUGGGGCUGAAGGUCGUGGUCCUGCACCCUCAGUCUCCAGCCUGUGGGAUCCCCAGGCAAACUCACCCCUUGGGCUGCCUCUGCCCUGGAGUCCCCCUACCCCUUCCCUUUCAGCCCCAAAAGGGCUCACUGAGAGAAGGUUGCCAUAGCUUUGGUGCAGGGAGCCCUAGCAAGUAUGGUCAUUUGUAACUCUUUUAAAACCUCAGUUAUUAGAAUUAACCUGCUAGCUGCUGGGGUUUUGCAGGGAGGCUUCGCCGAGUGAGCUGUGGACAGAGAAACAGCAACUAAGGGAAUGUGGUCUGGCAGAAAACUUGGGCACAAGUUGUCUCUCCUGUCUCUGGUGCCCCUGACAACAGCACUGUGGCUCAGCAGGCAGCCUCUACCACGCAUGGGCCAGGACAUGAGCGAUGCCUGCUGUUCUGCAGGGACAUACACAAGGAGGAGGAGAAUGCCCCAUGUUCACAGCGUGGCACAUAUAGCAGAAACACAGACAUCCACUACAGAUGUACACCCCUCAGAUAGCCUCACACUAGGACCAUGCACCACCCACACUCACAGCACGUGCUGCAGCUUCACAUACAGGGCCUCACUCAGAGGUACAAAGGCCUCAGAAGACACACACAUCCGAUUCACGAGGAGAUACAAGCAGCACAAAGCAAAGCAGAGAUCUGUGAACACACCCUUACAUGAUAACAACACUUUCCCCUCAGAGCAGAGGCUUUCACUGACAUGCACAAAGGCUGAGGCACAGGCGCACACUAGCUGAUACGCAGACACACACCUGCAGACUGAGAUGCCCACACUGCAGCACAGCUGGAUUAACAGUCAGAAAAUGUUCAACUCGCUAUGCAGAGCCCAAAAUAGAGCAGCCUGAAGGAUAGUGUGCUGCUUUUUAUAGCAGCAUAUCAAUCCCGGGAGACGGAGGCUCUGCAGAGCAUGGCUAGUUGGAGAUGCAAUGAGAGCAGCUCCUGACUCAGUGCUUGCAUCAAGACUAGCAGCGCAUUCCCCAGAGGAAGGCACCCGCAGACCUGCAGGCUUAGCACUGGGCAUUGCAGAGAGAACGUCAGGGCUCCCCACCAGUUAGUUUCCUGCUCAGCCACAGACCACAGUGCCUUUCCAUUGUGUUGCUUGCUGCAGGAUCUCUGUGUGAAAGGGUCAUUUCAUUCUGCCUUGAGGGAAAGGUGGCACCACCUCAUAGGAACUCUUUAGCCCUGUGUUUCAAUUGCUGCCAGGUGCAAAGUAUAGCUUGUUUAAACUAGCAAGGUAUGAUUUACUUUGUCUAUCAGUCAGCUGCUGCUCCUAGGAGACCCGUGGGCGCCUAGCUUAGAUUGUAGUUUGGGUCCUGGCUGAGUGGUGUAGGCUCCCAGGAGUGGUGUGAGUCUCUGUCCAGUUUCCGUAGGCUGAGGAAAAGUAGUUGCAUGUGGAAUUUAGGGCCUGCCUGAGCUACAAACAACUGCUUUGGGGAACCAGCUCAGCAGUUCCGGUCAGUAGGAGGGAUGCAGGCCCAGGCCUAAUCCAGAGCCAGGGGACAGCAGUGUCUUGUCAGGUGGAAACCUUCUGGUCUUCUAUACAGAUUGGAGCCAAGUGGUGCUGAGCAGGAUCCAUCAGGAGGCUGUAUGUGCAGAGCACAUGGGACUCCAGCAGAGAAGGGCCCUGGCUAUAUCACUAGUGCACUUACCCACCACUUCCUCUCACCUGUGGCCAACCAAGGUGCUAAGCACUCAGCCAGAAGAUGCAGAGGAAGCUUGUCAGCCAUUGUGGGUGUGUCUUUAUGAUACACUAAAUGCAUAGUAGACUAAUUCUACUGCACAUCCAUGCAUCACGGCAAAAGCUGUGUUAAUGCAGAAUAGAAUUAGUCUACUGCACGUUAGCAUCACUUGUUUCCUUCUACGACCAGGCAACUCGCUACCUGGAUAAAAGCGAGGUUGACAUUGUAAACCAGACUUCCAAAAGGCCUUUGAUCUGGUAUCGCAUGAUGUUCUCAUGGGAAAACUGGAGGAUUGUGGGCUUAACUGCUCAACAGUCAGGUGGGUAGGAAGCUGGCUGCAGGGUAGGAUCCAGAGCUUUCUAAUCCAGAGAUUUCUAAUGUGUUGUCCUAGCGAGAAGUGGCCAGUGGUGUCCCUUGGGGUCCAUGCUUGGUCCAGUGCUUUUCAACAUCUUUAUCAAAGAUUUGGAUGUGGGGGUGAAAAGCGCAAUGGCCAAGUCCAUGGAUGACACCAAGUUAUGGGGGAGCAUGGUCACGCUUGAAAAUAGGCUGCAGAUACAGGUGGACCUAGACAGGCUGGCAGGUUGGGUGGAUUGGAACCAGAUGAAGUUCAACAUUGAGAAGUGUAAAGUGCUCCAUCUGGGGAUGAACAAUCCUCAACGUACUUACAGGCUUGGUGGCACCAAACUGACUAGUACCAUAACUGAAAGGAACCUAGGGGUAAUAAUAGACCAGGGGUUGUCAACCACGGGUAUGUGUACCCUUGGGGGUACUUUGAAAGGUGCUGGGGGGUACGUGGGGGCAGGUGGGGAUGGAGUGCCACCACCUCACGCCACUGCCUCACAGGAGUUGGGCCGGGGCAGGGCGAGAGCAGGGUCAUACAGAUGCUACACUGCCGCUGCUCUGCCACACUUCAACAAGGAUGUGGAAAAGCUUGAGAGGGUCCAGAGAAGAGCCACCCAUAUGAUCAGAGACUUGCAAGACAAGCCAUACGAGGAGAGGCUAAGGGACUUGGGUCUCUUCAACCUAAAGAAUAGAAAGCUGAGAGGGGAUUUGGUAGCAGCUUACCACUACAUCAGGGGAAUGCAUCAAGGGCUCAGCAAACAACUGUUCACCAGAGCAUCCUUGGGGAAAACCAGGAAUAAUGGCCACAAAGUCCUGGAAGACUGUUUCAGGUUUAACACUAGGAAAAACUUCUUCACAGUCAGGGUGUCCAGACUGUGGAAUAAGCUCCCUCCAGAGGUGGUACAGUCACCUACCCUUCAAGAGGAGAUUGGACGGUCACCUUGCUGGGAUCACCCGACCCCAGUUGUCUUUCCUGUCUAGUGCAGGGGCUGGACCCCAUAAUCUUGCAAGGUCCCUUCCAGCCCCUAACAAUUUAUAAAUCUAUGAAUCUAUCUAUGAAAGGCGUGUGCUAGCAUGACUGUGCAGUAGUGCCAAUUACUGCACAUUUAGUUAGUACCUGUUAUUACUGUGAUGCUCAGAAAAAGCUGAAACAAAACCUUUUGGGCUGAGCUGUUCAGGGACAAUUCAUUAGCACUGGAUAUUGGCCUGACUUCUGUGGCAGCAUUUGGGUUUAAGUGCCUUCACUAGAGGUUUGUCUGGGGUAGAUCAAGGGAAAGGAGGACUGUGGUUCAAGGUCAUUAAAAAGUCAUUGAGGGACAGGGUUGGCACCCAGAGGUCCAAAAUGCUGUAGGGCCCACAGGAUGCGAGAUGGUGGGUACACACGGAGUGACAUGCCCAGGUCCUGGCCUAAGAGUUGAAGAAAUAUGUGAUUCCACUCUGACUGAGCCAGGUCUGAGGCCUGCCCUGUGAGGGGUGCACUCAGACAGGCCCCAGGGAGGUCCAGCGGGCACCCCUGCACUUGUGAUAACCAUGGCAUUCAGAGAACCUGCAGUUCUCCCCCUGAGAAGCCUGAAAACAGUGUUUCAUGUAAGAGCGGGAAUAUAGCACUAGAGAGAACAGGAUUGUGAAGGUCUCCCUUGCCUAGAAGCCUUGCCAGCCCAGCCCGAGAGCCAGGAGCCAGCCUGGCCUCCUCAGACACCCUCCCUCCCAGCACUGAAGCUGCCUGCCUCUUCCAUCUGGCUCCCCCUGCCUGACGGCCAUUCUGGGGUAUGGGCAAGCCCAGGCCAAAGCCACCCUAAGGCAGGGCAACCCAGUCUCCACCUUGGCUGAGUCCAACUAUUUUACCCACACCAGAGGCAUAUAGCAGGACAGCUCGUGCUUUUGCGCCUCCUCACCACACAAAGAUGGCACCCAGGCUGCUGCCCCUGGUCACCCCCCUCAAAUACACUACUGACCCAGGCCAUCAGUCUAAUUGGCCCCAACUAUUACUGUACAGUGA